rnacentral:rRNA from 1 species
GACGAACGCUGGCGGCGUGCUUAACACAUGCAAGUCGAACGAAGUGGCGAACGGGUGAGUAACGCGUAAUCAACCGGCCCUUCAGAGGGGGAUAACAGUUGGAAACGACUGCUAAUACCGCAUACUGAAGGAGGGGAUUGCGUCUGAUUAGCUAGUUGGGGGGGUAACGGCCCACCAAGGCGAUGAUCAGUAGCCGGGCUGGAGAGAUGAACGGCCAAAUUGGUACUGAGACACGGCCCAGACUCCUACGGGAGGCAGCAGUGGGGAAUCUUCCGCAAUGGACGAAAGGCUGACGGAGCAACGCCGCGGGAGUGAUAACGGCCUUCGGGUUGUAAAGCUCUGUUAAUCGGGACGCGGUACCGGAAUAGAAAGCCACGGCUAACUACGUGCCAGCAGCCGCGGUAAUAC